UGGGCCUGCCUAUAUUUACCUUUUCAGUAUUAUUGCACACAAGAACUUUAUAAUAUGGCAAAACAAUCUCUUUAAAUAUAAAACUAAAACUUUAUCAUUGGACAGGUGUGCAAAAAAAAAAAAAAAAUACAGCUCUUAGAAGCACUCUAGAAUAGAUAUAUAUAUAGAUGUAUAUUGAUAUACUCUUGGAUAGAUAAUAUUCAGGCUUAUACAUUAUGUAAAUAAGCAAACACCAGGUAAAACCUUGGUGACAAAAACAACCAUAACCCCGAUCUCUGGUUACUGAACACAAUCACAUAACAAUGAUUAGACUAUAAUAACAUUAAAACAUAUUGACUACAGGGAGUGUGACCAAGUCAUACUUCUGUGUGUCUCAACUAAACAAUGGGACUAGGAUAUUACAAGGUGUGACUGGCAUAUUACCAGGUGUGACAGACAUAUUACCAGGUGUAACUGGCAUAUUACCAGGUGUGACAGACAUAUUACCAGGUGUGACUGGCAUAUUACCAGGUGUGACAGAUAUAUUACCAGGUGUGACUGGCAUAUUACCAGGUGUGACUGGCAUAUUACCAGGUGUGACUAGGAUAUUACCAGGUAUGACUGGCAUAUUACCAGGUGUGACAGACAUAUUACCAGGUGUGACAGACAUAUUACCAGGUGUAACUGGCAUAUUACAAGGUGUAACUGGUAUAUUACCAGGUGUAAUUGGCAUGUUACCAGGUGUGACAGAAAUAUUAUGAGGUGUGACUGGCAUAUUACCAGGUGUGACUGGCAUAUUACCAGGUGUGACUGGCAUAUUAAUAGGUGUGACUGGUAUAUUACCAGGUGUGACUGGCAUAUAACCUUGGGUGGAGUGGAUAUUACUGGGUGAAAUCCAUUCCUUGUAAAAAAAUCCA